UCCUGGCUCAGGAUGAACGCUAGCUACAGGCUUAACACAUGCAAGUCGAGGGGCAUCAUGAUCAAAGCUUGCUUUGAUUGAUGGCGACCGGCGCACGGGUGAGUAACGCGUAUCCAACCUUCCCCUUAGUAGGGCAUAGCCCGGCGAAAGUCGGAUUAAUACCCUAUGUUUUCCAAUGAGGACAUCUGAGCUGGAACAAAGAUUCAUCGCUAAGGGAUGGGGAUGCGUCUGAUUAGGUAGUAGGCGGGGUAACGGCCCACCUAGCCGACGAUCAGUAGGGGUUCUGAGAGGAAGGUCCCCCACAUUGGAACUGAGACACGGUCCAAACUCCUACGGGAGGCAGCAGUGAGGAAUAUUGGUCAAUGGGCGCGAGCCUGAACCAGCCAAGUAGCGUGCAGGAUGACGGCCCUAUGGGUUGUAAACUGCUUUUAUGCGGGGAUAAAGUGAGGGACGUGUCCCUUUUUGCAGGUACCGCAUGAAUAAGGACCGGCUAAUUCCGUGCC
rnacentral:rRNA from 1 species